UGUUUUUUAGUGUAAGAUGCACAUGAAUUUUUGAUUUUCAAAGUUUAAGUUUAAUUCUUAAUAAAACAA
rnacentral:tRNA from 1 species